GAGUGGAUAGUGAGAGAGAGAGACAGAGAGAAAGGUCUUCGUUUUUGCCGUUGGUUCACCCUCCAAUGGCCGCUGCGGCCAGUGCGCUGUGGCCAGCACAUCGCGCUGAUCCGAAGCCGGGAGCCAGGUGCUUCUCCUGGUCUCCCAUGGGGUGCAGGGCCCAAGCACUUGGGCCAUCCUCCACUGCACUCCCGGGCCACAGCAGAGAGCUGGCCUGGAAGAGGAGCAACCGGGUCAGAAUCCGGCGCUCCGACCGGGACUAGAACCCGGUGUGGCGGUGCCACUAGGUGGAGGAUUAGCCUAUUGAGCCGCGGCGCCGGCCAACACUAACUUCUGUAUGGUUUUGAGUAUGGCUUAGAAGUUCAUUUAGUCCUGAAUUCAUUUUAGAUGGAAAAGCUAAAAGCUGAAUAUUAAAUCAAUAAAAAAUUAUAAUAACUUAACUAGAGAAAACACAAGAGGGCAACCUUGUACAGCAAUAAAAUAUGUUUGCAUAAGAUAAAAAAUAAGUCAACAUUUUUAAUCAACUGUGGUUUUAUUCCAGUAGGAGACUUUUAAAGUCUUAUUAGUAAAUAUUGUCUUUUUAUUAACAGUUACACAAGUGUAACUUUGCAAAGGAAUUUAGCAUCAACAUCUAUACAAUGAAUUUUGCAAGAAUUUUAGUCUUGUUUUAAUCUCAAAAAAAGUGAAUUUAUUUUCCAUUGACCACUGUAUAUAUUGCUUGGUUUAAGUUUGUAGAAAAGCAAGGAAAUAGACUUGAUAUGCAAGAGAUACAAAAAUUACUCUUUUUCCCUUGGAUUUUACAAUUUACAUUUUCAAAGUGGAAAUAGUUUCAUGUUUUCUGAUUAGGAAAAUGUGAUCCAUGAAAUUUUAAUAGAAGACUAUUUUUAGAAUUGUUUAAACUGCUAGAGAGCACAGUCUAAUGAUCAGGAAAUGUAUAUAACCUUACACACAAUUCAAUUUCCUGACACAUAAAUGGCGCUGUAAUUCCAGUUGGAUCACUAGGUCCUAAAAACCCAUGGCACACCAAGAGAUGGUAGGCUUAAGGCACCCGUGCACAUGUUUGCAUGCACGAAUUCUUGCAGAUCUUGAUUUCAUCUGUAGAGCAAAUGCAGACAUCUGUGUGGUUUUUCUUACCAUCUGCUGCUGCCCUCGCCCAACUCACAGUAAUUUGGAGUUUCUGUGCUAAACAGCAUAGGAGAAGCAGGACCAAGGAAGCAGUAGUAGAUGUUUCUCCAAGCAUCGUAGUGGGAGCAAACCUGAAGAAUUCUGUGAUCAAAACGUGGUACUUAGAAAAGUGAUAUGGCACCAUAGUUUUAUUCAUCACCUUUCCUUUAUUUCAGAACACCUGAGAAGGACUACUUAGGGAGGAGGAAGGUUUGCCUGGGCUUACGGUUCCGCAGGCUCAGUGGCCCUACUUGUUGAAGCCUUUGGUGUUGCCGCCUCUGGUGAGGCUGGAGGGUGGCAUGAGGAAGCUGAGGGAGGCGGGAGCUGGCUCUUCCUCCACAUCCACGUGGCUCCACAGUGAUUGCCACCCUGGGGCUCCACCCUGGCAACCUAAUCCAAUCUGACCACUUUCCAAGGGCCCACCUUCAGACACCAGAAUUCCAUUAAGGAUAGCCAUGCACAGAAAGACUCUUGGAACCUAGACUUUAAUACGUGGGCCUUUAGGAGGAUACCCAGAUUAUUUCCCAAAUCAUAACAGUAGUUAAUUGCAUGGAGUUUGAAUCUUUAGUUCCUGUCUUAUACAAACUGUGACUUCAGACAAGUUUCUUGACCUCCCUGUGCCUGGUUUUCCUUCUCUAUACACUGCAGUUAUAAUAAUACCCAUCUCCUAAGGUCUGCUGUGAGACAUCAAUGAACGUACAGUGUUUAAAGCAGUGUCUAGUAUUAGGAAAGCUUCAUAUAGGUAUUUGCUGUCCUAGAAGUGAGCCUAAGAAAACCUGUAGCAGAAUUAAGAACCCAAGUAUCAGAAAAUGAAAUACAGGCAAGAACCCUGUUGUCAUGCAGAAGAAUAUCAUCAAAAUCUGUAAGAAAAAUUCAUAUUCUAACCAUUUGGCAAACUACCGUUGGUUAAGGAUUUUCCUCAGUUUUUAGGGAGAAAGAAAUGGAAAUUAACAACAGCAAUUUACUGAAUGGCACAGGGGUUUGGCUCAUAUUACCGUGUGGAAAAUCACACCUGCUUCUUCCCCUAUUCUGAGACGCGGUUAGUCUUUUUUUUGUUUGUUUUUUGACAGGCAGAGUUAGUGAGAGGGAGAGACAGAGAGAAAGGUCUUCCUUCUGUUGGUUCACUCCCUAAAUGGCUGCUAUGGCCGGCGCGCUGCAGCGAUCCGAAGCCAAGAGCCAGGUGCUUCCUCCUGGUCUCCCAUGUGGGUGCAGGGCCCAAGCACUUGGGCCAUCCUCCACUGCCCCCACCCCCACCCCGGCCACAGCAGAGAGCUGGACUGGAAGAGGGGCAACCGGGUCAGAAUCUGGCGCUCCAACCGGGACUAGAACCUAGGGUGCCAGCGCUGCAGGCGGAGGAUUAGCCAAGUGAGCCACGGCACCAGCCAAUAUGGGCCACUUUUAUAGUUACAAAAUAAUCUCUCAACGUAGGAAAAAAAAAUUCCAAAACUGGAAUCCCAAGACACAUGAGCCCUGUUCCUACCAUUGCCAUUAUGACUUUCCAAAAACAGGGAAAGGAUUCUCUGUGAUUCUGUGUUUUUUGGGUGAAUUUCCCAUCCCCAUUAUUGUGGCUUCUAAGUUGUUGGAAAAAUGAAUGGAAAGAUAAAUGAGUCAUUAAGAAAACUAUUAACCAUAUUGUACUUUUGUACUUUUGCUUUGUAUUAUUCCAUCUAAGGUUUCCAGUUAAGACAGACUGAUUAAAAUCUUACAAUAUAUUGGUAGGAAGAAAUUGUUGCAGUAAUUCAAGUGCUUGUGCACAUUUUUACCAAGAUGGUUUCUGAAUAUCAGUGAAAAUUUCUAUCAUGCCUUCAUGGUGCUUGAGCAACCCUGGAAUUUAGUGGGGUAUGAGGGCAGCCCAGUAUGUUAGGAGGAUUUUUGCUAAGCAAGCCUGCCUGAUUGAUUUUAUUUAUAACAUAAUUUCAUCUUGGGGGACUACCUAAUGUCUAAAUCUCUAACUUUCCAAGUUCUAGCAUUUAGCUUCCACAUUCUGAUUGGAGUGGAUGAGACCAACCACAUUUACGUGCAUAUACGUAGCCCUUGCUGUGCGAAAGACAAACACACUCUUGGUCCUCUUUGAACUUAACAGAAGGAAACAUUAAGCAAAUAAACUGAGUAAAGAAAUCUAAAAGAUACAGAGCAUGUGAUGGGACAUGACUGUCAAGCAGAUUGUGAGGAACGACUCUUUAAAGUUUACAAUUUGGCCUUUUUGUGUAUUCAGCUAAAUAUAUGUGAUCGUACUGAAAUAAUUUGCUGUGUCUGUGUCCACAUGGAUGUGUCUUUUCCACAGACUUAGAAUCUGAAGCCUGCUUAUCAGGGGUCUCCACCUUCAAAUUACAUCUCCAAUUUCUUCUUUUCCCACAUUUUUAUACAAGCCUUCUUUAAACAUGGGAAUGCCACGUGUCAAGUUAUACUCAGCACUGUGCUGAGCAAGACUUUGAAACUCCGAGCUCUGCAAGUGAGUGCUGUGUCCAGGGCAUUCAAGGUGAGUAUCAGUCACGGCCAGUCAAGGUAAGAUAAGCAUGUGCCUUUUUUAAAAAUCUUGUUCUGAAUUAUUUUUAAGGCCUCUUCUAGCUCUAAAAGUCCAAUUCCAUUUAUACACAUGGCUGUAUGGUAAUGAUAAUGAAAUUUGGGUCAGUACUCAGAUUUCCCCUUUCUUAUCAGGGCAGCGGUCACACUGGAUUAAAAUUCACCCUAAUGACCUCAUCUUAACUUGAUCAUCUGGAGAGACCCUAUUUCCAAAUAAAACGAGUGCAUUCAUAGACACCGGGAUUUAAGACCUCAGCUGAUCUUUGCGGGGUUGCAUGUUCAACCCAUGACAAUGGUAAGAUUUUGUUGCAGGAGUUCUGGUGUCAGUGUUGAAGGAGUAGUGGCAGGAGGAGUCUGUGGCUCCCGUUGCCUCUGCGUCUCAUCCCCCAGGAGACGUGGCAGAGUCGUCUUUUAGGCAGAUUCUUCGAGAGCAGCACAGCUCCUGUGCUGCAGCUCCUCCUAUCCUAGCUCUGCGUGCCAAGCUGCUCCUUCCUGCUUGGUUUGUCGAGUGUUGCUGUCUUCUACGGCUUUUCUUCUCUGCUGGAUUCGUCAAGGAGUGCUGGCAUCUUAUGGGUUACAGCUUCUCUACCUUGCCAGGCUCUUUGUCUUAUGACCAGGACAAGUGAGGCACACAGACAAGGAAGAAGAGAGCAAAGCAAAGGGUGUUUACUGAAGAAGAGAGAAUACCUCCUGGCAGCCUGGAGGGCUGCCCCAAAGGCCUGACGGGCCUGCCUGGCUCAGGAUUUUUAUGUUUCUUUUCUUUUCUAAGAUUUAUUUAUUUAUUUGAGAGGUAGAAUUACAGACAAAGAGAAAGGUCUUCCAUCUGCUGGUUCACUCCCCAAAUGGCUGCAAUGGCCAGAGUAGAGACGAUCCAAAGCCAGGAGCUAAGAGCUUCUUCUGAGUUCUCCCACGUGGGUGCAGGGGCCCAAGCACUUGGGUCCUCUUCCACUGCUUUCCCAGGCCACAAGCAGAGAGCUGGGUCAGAAGAGGUGCAGUUGGUACAUGAACCAGUGCCCAUAUGGGAUGCUGGCGCUGCAGGCAGAGGCUUAGCCUACCACGCCACAGCGCCAACCCCAUUUUUAUGGGUUUCUAAGUGAAGAAGUCGUCACUGAUUCAUCGAGGCAUAUGCUCACGGGAUUUUCUACAUGAGCCAGUUCGGGAACUGACAUUGGAGGAACCUGUUUUGCAUAGCAGAUUGCAGAGUACCCAAUCAGGUCUGUUAGGCAGAUGUAACAUCUGAAUUGCACUGUGCACAUUUCUGCCUUCUCCCCCUUCCACGCACUCCUGGAGGGUUAUGUUAUGUCUGUUUUUUUCCUUUCCUUUUCCAGGAGCUCCUGGAGUCCCUAUCAACUUCAAUAGAAGAGAAGGGGGGAGGGGCGGGCAGGGGUAGUUGAUGGGACACAUCCUAGAAGAGAACAAGGUGAAUAAUGCCUUACUAGUAGGAAGCACAGAGCAUGUCCAGAAAACCUCAAGUACGUUGUUGGGUUUUGUGAGAGCACAUUACAGGUGAGGGGUUGGGGGAGAGGGUCUUCGGCCCAACUGCUUUCCAGGUGUUGGCAGCUGCCCAAGCUUCCAGAGUGCCUAGUUCCAUCAUUGGUGCAUUAGACAGUUGCAUGUAGAAACUAGUGGAGACAGGCCAGCCACAGAGAGAGCUGUUGGGCUGCUUCCGAGAGGUCAGGCAGCAAAUCAGGGACUUCUAAUGACUGCUCUGGGGCCUUUUCCUUCAUCCUCAGACCCUCUACCACUGGGGUACCAAAGAGCUACUUGCUUGUGAUUCGCAAAUUCCCACAGUCCUCAUGGAUUUCUCCUUCCUGUCAGAAAAGUGGCCUGCAAGAUACUCCUGUGUUUCUCCAUCUGACGGUUGCUGUAUGAGUCACAGUGCUUGCUGCACAUGGCCAAAGGUUAUGUGUGUGGCUUGCUCUAAGGGGCCUGGGGGUUGCCUAUGACUCUUUGGAAAUUCUUUCUGCUUUUUUCUUUAGCAUUUUCAGAUUGAGUCACCCAAACAUCUUGAAUCUAAAAAAAAAAAAAAAACUUGAAAAGCAUCUUCUCCUUUAAGUUCUUCAGAGCUUUUCUUGCACCUUUUACUCCAAAGAGCGUGUAAAAGUGGGUUAGUGGCUGCAUUAGGCAGCGGCAGCCAGGAAGAUAUUGUCCGCAUCUGUGCAGGAUGCGUCCGCCCACGGCUGCCAUUGUGCUGGCCUGCGAUAUGCUUACAAGUAUGUGGGGGAUCCAGCAACAAAAGAAAUAAAAGUCCCAGAAAGAGAUGAAAGAUACCAUUGUGUUCAGGAGCAGGGGCGGUGUGGGUUUCAGAAUGUCCUGUUGUGUGCUCUGAGAGGAAGAGGAGCUGGCUCCGCGUAUAGUAUCAGCCAUAAAGACUACAGCGUUCCUAUCCGGGACUGUUUAUCUUGAGAUCCUCGUGUACAUUUAGAAUCUUCUUGGCUCGUCCUUUCAGAGAAUGCUAUGCUGGGCUUCGUCGUUCUCAGCACCUGACUUGCAGUUUUCCAGUAGCGUGCAGCGAACUGACUUGAUGGGUUGCCGCUGCUUUCUGCAGGAGCAUCCCACAGGUGAAGAAUAAGAGAAUCACGUCUCAGCCUGAUGGGAGAUCCCCAAUGCCCAGUGUUGCAAGUCACUGACAUACAGAAGCCACCAUGAAGGAAAGCUUGUCAAGGCAACUGAAAUUAGGACGCAGAUCUCAUUUGACACUUCUUUGAAAGGUGCUCUGUGCGUUGUGUAGAACGCCAUGCCUGCACACAUAGUAGUUAAAUAACAAGCAUGGUACGUUAUCCUUGUGUUCGAGAACACUGAGAUAUAAAAUCACUUUAAACAGACUCCCUCAAAAUGUAAUAGGAAAGGAAAACACUUAGGACUAUUUUUAAGUGUUAUGAACACUCAGUAAAUAAAGACAUUUAUUUAAAGAAACACACACGCACACACACAAAAAAGGGCUUCAAAAAGUUCAUAGGAAUGUAUAUUAUGAGAACAUAAUGCAUGAAUUUCAUUUCUUGCACCAAAAUAAGCUUAUCUUUUAAUUUCACUUUCCACGAACUUUUAAGUGCCUGUGUGUGUGUGUGUUGUGUGUGUGUGUGUGUGUGAACAGCAACAGUAGAGUAAAAUUUUUAGAAAAUAAUGCCCUCUUGCUCUCUCUUUUUCCUUUUUGCCUCCUAACUUUUUUUGGAACUACUUCUUCCUUUUCUUUCCUGUUCUACCUUGAGCUUGGUUCAUUCCCUUCCUUCUCUCAUUUUCACCUGUUAAAUUUUCUUCCAUUUCUGCCUGCCUUUUUCCUUAUCUCCUUUCACCACAUUAUAAAUAUAACUUCAUACGCAAUACAAUCAGUAUCUCAUUAAUUAUUAGUUAUUUUUAAAAAGAUUUACUUAUUUAUUUGAAAGUCAGGUUUACACACAGAGAGAAGGAGAGUCAGAAAGAGAGGUUUUCCAUCCACUGGUUCACUCCCCAGUUGGCCACAACGGCCGGAGCUGAGCUGAUCUUAAGCCAGGAGCCAGGAGCUUCUUCCAGGGCCCAAGGACUCGGACCAUCUUCCACUGCUUUCCCAGGCCACAGCAGAGAGCUGGAUUGGAAGUGGAGCAGCCAGGACUUGAACCGGCACCCAUAUGGGAUGCCGGCACGGCAGGCAGCAGCUUUACCCGCUAUGCCACAGCGCCAGCCUCUAAUUACUAGUGAUUAAAAUGUUUUAAUACAACCCCCCAAAACCCAUGCUUGUAACAAUUAAAAAAUAAAACUCAUGUACAAAUUAUUUUUUCUUUUUCAUUUUUUAUAAAUAACUCCAUUUUUCUGAUUCUAACACCAGAAUUUAAAAAUAAAAUAAAAAUAUAAAAUUACUACUUAACCCAAAUAAAUUAUAAUGAAAAUUUUAAAGAAACUACAUAGCUCCAGUGAUCUUGUUUCUGUCAACCUCUGUAUGACCAAAGAAAACACAACUGGCAAAAUAUCAAACUUUGGGACAUAAGAUAUAUAGACCUUUAUAGAGUAAAAAAGAUUGGUGAUAGGAAAUGCAGCAAUCACAAGAAAGUUUCCUGGGCAAAACGGUACCUGCAGAUCAAAGCAAAACGUUUGAGAUUCUAGCAGAGCAUCAUAACUUCAAAGGUCGUCCUCGGCACAGCCGUGAAUCUGCUUUGGGUAUGACGGCUCGAGAACCUGCGCAUCCGGAGAUGUUCCAGAUUAGCUUCCCAGUUGGACAGAAAGCAAUUAAAGGCGCGGGAAAGGAUGAUGGUUUGCACCCUGAAGCCCGGAAAUGCCUUUCCCAAACAUUGCUCUCUCGGGGAAUCUUCUGUCAGAUAAAAGCAUCAUUGGAUACCUUUCACAUUUUGUUUAGGAACUGAGUUUAACAAACUGCAAGUAUUCAGAUGCAGAAGAAUGGCAGAAAUAAACGGGAUGCUAGUUUAAAUACGGAAGGUUACACCAAUAAUAACUGAUGCUCUUUCCUCAAGAUGACUGUACCGAUGACCCCAUAACUCCAUUUCUUUUAUUAUUUUUCCCCAAAUUACAUGAAGGUUGAUUCAUUUCCCCUUCCUUCUGGUUGCCAACUUUCUGAGACUUUUUCAAUAUGCUUCAUGGAGGUUAGCUUUAUUACAAUUAGACUGGGGUGCAGAUGAAGUGGUGUUCAGAACUGGUAUUUCCAUACCAACACAGCAUACUUCUGUAUUGAAGUGGAACGAAGGUAAUCUCUCUCUGUGUUCACAUCAAUUUCUCUCUUCUCUUGUCUCAGUGAUAGUAUUUUAUUUUCUUACACAAACCUCAAAAGUUAUUGCCCAUGCUGUGCCCAGCGGGUACCUACUAAGGUUUGCAGGCUUCUUUUUCCACCAGGAUUCCAUCCCUGCCAAAUGUAAUUUGAUUUUAUUAUACCAUGGGGGCUUUCUUUUCCCCUGUCCUCAUGUUAUAAUGUAACUCAUCAAUAGUCAUUCAUCAAGGAGGUAAGCUGUUCUCAUGAUGGUCUACAAAGAGCGCCAAGAAUCCAUUCCUGCUGCUUGUUUAGGGCUGCCUUCAGAGAAGGCAGAAAAAAUUCUCUUUUUAAUUUAUUUUGAAAGGUAAAGUGACGGGGCAGGGAGUAGAGAUGGGAAAAGAGAAAGAUGGAGCCUUCUGUCUGCUGGUUCACUCUCCAGGUGCCUGCAACAGCCAGGGCUGAGCCAGCCCAAAGCUAGGAGCCUGGAAGUCCUGGGUGUCCCACAUGGGUAGCAGGACCCUAUAUACUUGGGCGGUUAACUGCUGCCUCCUAGGGUGCACAUUAGAGAGAAGUUGGAUCAGGAGCAGAGGCAGGACUCAGUUCAGCCACUCCAGUAUGGGAUAAGGGCAUCCUAAGCCGUGGCUUAACCCACUGAAACACAAUGCCUGCCCCCCGAAAAAAAGCAGAACCAUAUUUUCCUACCUGGACAUCAGCAAGGAAGUGAAUCAGGGCCAUGCUGUGGACAGGAUUCCGGCUUCUGAGUCCGGGUGAGCCUACCUGAGAGGUUCCACCACAACCAUCUCAAAAUUCUCCUGCUUUGUCAAGUAAACCAAGAAUGGGUUAUAUGGCCUACUUAUGUGCUAAUGUUUCAUUCUCACAGUAUCCAUGGUAGACAAAUAAAAGGUGUAAUCAAUCAGUAUCCCCUUCCAAAGGAGCAAUGAGUCAGGAGGAAGAUGAAAUCUAAGGCACGCUCCAACUUUAUAAGUCAUUGUCUAAAGCAUCGAUGUUUAUAACUAUGCUUGGAAUGUUUCAUCAGGAACAAAAUCGUGUUGGAUCUGCAAGUGGGACUAAUAAUAGAACUUACCUAGCAGGGCUAUAAUGAAGAUUAAAUAAUGCUUAUAAACCACCUAACACAAUUCCUACAUUAAUACACAGAAAUACUAGUAGCUAUUAAUUAGUACCUUGUUCACUGAACUAUACUUGCUCAUUUUUUAAAAAAUCUAUUUUAUAAUUGAAAGAGUUACAGAGAGAGGCAGAGCCAGAGACAGAGAGGUCUUCCAUCCACUGGUUCAAUCCCCAAAUGACCACAACAGCUAGAGCUGAGUUGAUCUGAAGCCAGGAGCCAGGAACCUCUUCUGGGUCUCCCACAAGGGUGCAGAGGCCCAAGUACCAUCUUCUACUGCUUUCUCAGGCCAUAGCAGAGAGCUGGAUAGGAAGAGGAGCAGCUGGGACUAGAACUGGCACCCAUAUAGGAUGCGGGCGCUGCAGGCCAGGGCUUUAACCCACUGCACCACAGUGCCGGCCCCUUGCUCGUUUUUCAAAGACAAAAAUCAAAGAGCUAGGCAGUCUUGUAAUUGUUCAAACUAAAAAAGAGGUGAUUCUUAAAAGGCACGUUUUGUUCUACCCACAUUGGUUAUUUAGUUGAUUUUCUCAGACAUUGCCACUUGGUUAAGAAAGAGGUGGUCACUUUUAGGAACUUACUUGUUUGUAUUGCAUUAUUCUCCAUAGUGUGCUCUCUGAUCUUGAGAUAAAGGGUUGGAACUGAAGACAAAGCAAGAAAUAAUAAUAAGAGUAAGUCUGAACUCUUUCCUUUUAUUUCACUUCUAUAGUGUGAAACAGUAUAACUACUGUCCUAUUUUUCCACUCAAGUAAUGCUGAAGAACCUUAGAAACCAAUUAAAUGUACAGGAUGGCACACUGUGCUGUUUACUGUGGUUGUUCUGUCCUGACCACCAGCUGCUGUAAUUUUGCUUCCCUUGUACACAUACUUUUUUCUGUCUAUGAACUACUGAAACCUACGGCUAUAUGAACCUGAUCGUAAAAAAACACGAAUUCUUCUUGUUCUUUUGUUCCUAAAAAACAAUCUAUAAAUUAAUGUGAUAUGUUUGGAGGUCAGUUUAAUUUUUAUUAAAGCUUUCAAUGUGAA